GACGAACGCUGGCGGCGUGCUUAACACAUGCAAGUCGAGCGGGUAAGGCCCUUUCGGGGGUACACGAGCGGCGAACGGGUGAGUAACACGUGGGUGACCUGCCCUCAGCUCUGGGAUAAAGCCUGGGAAACCGGGUCUAAUACUGGAUAUGACUCCAUGACGCAUGUUGUGGGGUGGAAAGCCUUGUGCGGCUGAGGAUGGGCCCGCGGCCUAUCAGCUUGUUGGNGGGUGAUGCCUACCAAGGCGACGACGGUAGCCGGCCUGAGAGGGCGACCGGCCACACUGGGACUGAGACACGGCCCAGACUCCUACGGGAGGCAG
rnacentral:rRNA from 1 species